UACGUGGGACCCAAGCGUUAUCCGGAAUUACUGGGCGUAAAGAGUUGCGUAGGUGGCAGAGUAAGUAGGUGAUGAAAUCGUCCCGCUCAACGGGAUACACAUCAUCUAAACUGCUCAGCUUGAGGAUGAGAGAGGUUAUUGGAAUUUCUAGUGUAGGAGUGAAAUCCGUAGAUAUUAGAAGGAACACCGAUGGCGUAGGCAGAUAACUGGCUCAUUCCUGACACUAAGGCACGAAAGCGUGGGGAGCGAACGGG
rnacentral:rRNA from 1 species